rnacentral:rRNA from 1 species
UACAGAGGGUGCAAGCGUUAAUCGGAAUUACUGGGCGUAAAGAGUUGCGUAGGUGGCAUGGUAAGCAAAUAGUGAAAGCGUUCGGCUCCACCGAAUAUCCAUUAUUUGAACUGCCAAGCUAGAGGAUGAGAGAGGUUAUUGGAAUUCCCAGUGUAGGAGUGAAAUCCGUAGAUAUUGGGAGGAACACCGAUGGCGUAGGCAGAUAGCUGGCUCAUUCCUGACACGAAGGCACGAAAGCGUGGGGAGCAAACGGG